GGGAUCUUCGGACCUUUCGGUUGAGGGAGAGUCUAUGGGAUAUCAGCUUGUUGGUGGGGUAAUGGCCUACCAAGGCUUUGACGUCUAGGCGGAUUGAGAGAUUGACCGCCAACACUGGGACUGAGACACUGCCCAGACUUCUACGGAAGGCUGCAGUCGAGAAUCUUUCGCAAUGGACGAAAGUCUGACGAAGCGACGCCGCGUGUGUGAUGAAGGCUCUAGGGUUGUAAAGCACUUUCGCUUGGGAAUAAGAGAGAUUGGCUAAUAUCCAAUCGAUUUGAGCGUACCAGGUAAAGAAGCACCGGCUAACUCCGUGCCAGCAGCUGCGGUAAUACGGAGGGUGCUAGCGUUAAUCGGAUUUAUUGGGCGUAAAGGGCGUGUAGGCGGAAAGGAAAGUUAGAUGUUAAAUCUUGGGGCUCAACCCCAAGCCAGCAUCUAAUACUAUCUUUCUGGAGGGUAGAUGGAGAAAAGGGAAUUCCACGUGUAGCGGUGAAAUGCGUAGAUAUGUGGAAGAACACCAGUGGCGAAGGCGCUUUUCUAAUUUACACCUGACGCUAAGGCGCGAAAGCAAGGGGAGCAAACAGGAUUAGAUACCCUGGUAGUCCUUGCCGUAAACGAUGCAUACUUGAUGUGGAUAGUCUCAACCCUAUCCGUGUCGUAGCUAACGCGUUAAGUAUGCCGCCUGAGGAGUACACUC
rnacentral:rRNA from 1 species